CCUACGGGGAGCAGCAGUGAGGAAUAUUGGUCAAUGGGCGAGAGCCUGAACCAGCCAAGUCGCGUGAAGGAUGACGGCCCUACGGGUUGUAAACUUCUUUUGUCAGGGAGCAAUUGAGUCCACGUGUGGGCUUAGCGAGAGUACCCGGAGAAAAAGCAUCGGCUAACUCCGUGCCAGCAGCCGCGGUAAUACGGAGGAUGCGAGCGUUAUCCGGAUUUAUUGGGUUUAAAGGGUGCGUAGGCGGGAUGCCAAGUCAGCGGUAAAAAUGCGGUGCUCAACGCCGUCGAGCCGUUGAAACUGGCGUUCUUGAGUGGGCGAGAAGUAUGCGGAAUGCGUGGUGUAGCGGCGAAAUGCAUAGAUAUCACGCAGAACUCCGAUUGCGAAGGCAGCAUACCGGCGCCCUACUGACGCUGAGGCACGAAAGCGUGGGUAUCGAACAGGAUUAGAUACCCCAGUAGUC
rnacentral:rRNA from 1 species